UACCAGCACCCCGAGUGGUCGGGACGAUUAUUGGGCCUAAAGCAUCUGUAGCCGGUUCUACAAGUCUUCCGUUAAAUCCACCUGCUUAACAGAUGGGCUGCGGAGGAUACUAUAGAGCUAGGAGGCGGGAGAGGCAAGCGGUACUUAGUGGGUAGGGGUAAAAUCCGUUGAUCCAUUGAAGACCACCAGUGGCGAAGGCGGCUUGCCAGAACGCACUCGACGGUGAGGGAUGAAAGCUGGGGGAGCAAACCGG
rnacentral:rRNA from 1 species